UUAAAUAUUAAACUUUUUCUCAGACGACACUAUAAAUGGGUUUGGGUUUGGGUCCUCUGGCGGGCACUUACCAGCCGAAGCCAGUAGCUAGGCGGCCCGCCAAAGCAACAAAAGGUAAGGUAUACAAAGGGUGGGAGGUCUACCCGUGAGGGCAUGAACUCGGUAAUGAUCCUUCCGCAGGUUCACCUACGGAAA
rnacentral:misc_RNA from 1 species